GUGAUUGCAGAUUCCGUGAUCAUCAGAAUCUUUAGAACGCACAUUGCGCCCGCCAGUAUUCUGGCGGGCAUGCCUGUUCGAGCGUCAUUUCAACCCUCAAGCCCCCGGGCUUGGUGUUGGGGCUCGGCCCGUCCCUCGUGGCGCGCCGUCCCCGAAAUCCAGUGGCGGUCACGCUGUACUCCUCUGCGUAGUAAUCCAACCUCGCAACGGGACAAAGCCUGGCCACGCCGUUAAACCCCCCACUUCUGAAGGUUGACCUCGGAUCAGGUAGGAAUACCCGCUAAACUUAAGCAUAUCAAUAAGCGGA
rnacentral:misc_RNA from 1 species